AGUGAACGCUGGCGGUAGGCCUAACACAUGCAAGUCGAACAGCAGCACAGUAAGAGCUUGCUCUUACGGGUGGCGAGUGGCGGACGGGUGAGGAAUACAUCGGAAUCUACUUUUUCGUGGGGGAUAACGUAGGGAAACUUACGCUAAUACCGCAUACGACCUACGGGUGAAAGCAGGGGAUCUUCGGACCUUGCGCGAUUGAAUGAGCCGAUGUCGGAUUAGCUAGUUGGCGGGGUAAAGGCCCACCAAGGCGACGAUCCGUAGCUGGUCUGAGAGGAUGAUCAGCCACACUGGAACUGAGACACGGUCCAGACUCCUACGGGAGGCAGCAGUGGGGAAUAUUGGACAAUGGGCGCAAGCCUGAUCCAGCCAUACCGCGUGGGUGAAGAAGGCCUUCGGGCUGUAAAGCCCUUUUGUUGGGAAAGAAAAGCAGCAGGUUAAUACCCCGCUGUUCUGACGGUACCCAAAGAAUAAGCACCGGCUAACUUCGUG
rnacentral:rRNA from 1 species